AUGCCUACGGGACGCAGCAGUGAGGAAUAUUUGUCAAUGGGCUUACGCCUGAACCAGCCAAGUCGCGUGAGGGAAGACUGCCCUAUGGGUUGUAAACCUCUUUUGUCAGGGAGCAACGCCGGCUACGUGUAGCCGGACUGAGAGUACCUGAAGAAAAAGCAUCGGCUAACUCCGUGCCAGCAGUCGCGGUAAUACGGAGGAUGCGAGCGUUAUCCGGAUUUAUUGGGUUUAAAGGGUGCGUAGGCGGAAUGCCAAGUCAGCGGUAAAAUCGCGGGUCUCAACCUCGCUCCUCCGUUG
rnacentral:rRNA from 1 species